rnacentral:tRNA from 1 species
AAAAACUUAGGUUACUACAAACCAGGGGCCUUCAAAGCCCCAAACAGGGACUUCCCCCUAGUUUUUG